CAUACAUGUUACUUCCUCAGGAAUGCUCUCUAACUUUCCAGACUCUUACAGCAUCCUAUAUUUACUUUUCCUUCAUGGCCUUGCAACAACAUAUAAAUAAUUGUUCAAUUGUUUGUACAUUGCCAGUUUUCCCUAGGUGAUUGUAAGCUCCAUUGAAAUAUGCCUGGCACACAGCUGGCGCUCAAUAAAUAUCUGUUGAAUGAAUGAAUGAAUGAAUGAACCAAUAGAUGAGUGAUGGAUGAAAUGACAGCACUUUGCAAAAUAAGUCACUAGACAUUUGGAAGGUAUUUCAAUUUUAGUAAUAAUUAUUAUGAUUCAUUUGCAUUACCAUGUAGAUGAUUCUAUGUCUUUAGAAAUUCCCUGUCUGACCAUAAUUUCAUUAUGUGGCUUUAAUGCUUGUUCUGCCAGCCAGAGGCAUGGUAGCAAUGUUGCUGAAAGCACCUGGUAGGAGCUGAGACUCGGAGAACCAAGUAGCUGGCUCCCUAGGUCAGCAUACUGGGAGUUAGGGAGUUGUAGUUACCAUUAGUUGAACAACAAGACAGUGGUCAGGAAUCCAGGAGGUCAGUGAUAUUGGAAGAAACAGGUGAAUCCUGGAGGUCAGAAACAAACUAAUGGUAAGUGGUCUAGAUAGUAAGGUGCAAAGUGGAGAACAGUCAGUGAUAAGGGAUGAAAGUAGAUGGAUAAAUUCCAAGCACCAGUACUCAGAGCAUGGAUCUGUGAAUAUGAUUCUAAAGCAAAUGGUACUUGGAACUCAGUGCUUCCUUAUAUUGUUUCUGCCCAGACUGAAAAUGGUAUCAGAAAGUGUUUGUGGGACGCCUGGGUAGCUCAGCGGUUGAGCAUCUGCCUUUGGCUCAGGACGUGAUCCUGGGAUCCAGGAUCGAGUCCCACAUCAGGCUCCCUGCAUGCAGCCUGCUUCUUCCUCUGCCUGUGUCUCUGCCUCUGUGUGUGUGUGUGUGUGUGUGUGUGUGUGUGUGUGUGUGUGUGUGUCUCAUGAAUAAAUAAAUAAAAUCUUGAAAAAAAAAGUGUGCCUAGUUCCACAUACAUGGGCAAGAGAAUAAUAGUAGCUAGUUGAGGAAUGAGAUCUGUGAAUACAAAUAGGUUCUGAUAGUGGCAGCAUAAAGAAGACCAUUUGUAUAUAAGAUCUGAUAAUAGUCUGCACAUAAAAUAGGAGCAAUCAAGCUUUGGAUCCCAUAAUUCUCAACUUGACUUUCAACAGCAGAUAUUAUAGCACAGUGAUUGGGAUCAUGGACUCUGGCAAAAGGCUAAGCUGGGUUCAACAGGCUAGCUAGGUCUAUCAUUUAUUAGUUGUGUCCUUUGAACAAGUUACUUCCCCUCUGUGUGUCAGUUUCCUCAUCUGUAAAACGGAGAUGAUAGUACCCACUUCAGUGGGUUCUUGUGAAGAUUAAAUGAAGUGAUGCAUUAGAACAGUGCCUGGAUGUAGCAAAUGCUAUGUCAAAUGUUAUUAUUAUUAUUAUUAUUAUUAUUAUUAUUAUUAUUGGCUAGUCACAUUAAGAUCAAACAAAAAUUGGCGGUAUAAGAAAUGGAUAAAUACAUUGUAUGUUCACUCUAACUAAAAUAGUCUCUAAACAGGAAUUUUUUCUUAUUAAAAUAAGAAUUUCAUUUGCACCUAACCAUAAUUGACUAUAUAAAAACUUUAAGCAUUAGCCAAGUAGCAAAAUUUAUCACAGCAAUCCCUUCAAUGUGCUUAUAUUACAGAAGCUGUCUUAUGAACACUUAUCUUAAAAAGCUGUGAAUAAAUACACAUUUCCUAACAGCGAAAAAAUACUAUUAAGCUUCAAUAUGGUGGAUCCAUAGAAUCUGGUCUAUAAGAAGGAUGGCCUUAUUUAAAUUUUUUGAGGCUAAUUCUACUGGAAGCAGGGUUAUUUGUGUUGGAAGACCUGUCUGUGGAAAGAUCUGAACAUGGAAAGGCUCGGACUUGGGAAGACUCCUUUUAAAAAGGUCUGGACCUGGGGAAAGGUCAGAAGACCUGGACUAUGGAACAUGUCAGAAUACCUGGAUAUCGUAGACACCGGAAGACCUGAAUGUUAGAAGGCCGGUACCCUGGAGGCGUCGGAAGACGUGGAUAUUGAGCCCGCUGUUGGAAGACUGGGUAGUUGUCGGAAGACGUGGAGAUGCUGGAAGACGAAGAGAUGCUGGAAGACGAAGAGAUGCCGGAAGACGCAGAGAUGCAGGAAGACGCAGAGAUGUAGGAAGACGCAGAGAUGCUGGAAGACGAGCAGAUGCUG
rnacentral:lncRNA from 1 species